AUUCACGGUGAAAUCUAUCUACUAUUUAAUAGUACCAGUUCUUGUGACAUUAUUUUCAACAACAUUUUAGUAAUCCACUAUAAAUAGUUUUAAACAUUAUUUUCAGCAACAUUUUGGUGUGCAAGUAGUCACAAAGUGUGAAGGUUAGCAGGAACUGAUUUGAGCAUGGGAAUGGAGAAGCUUUAGCUUCGACUAGAAUAGUGUGCUGAGCUAUUAUAUCCAGUCCAUCCAAGAGGGAGUUAUGCCUGGUGAUCCAAACUGUUGAUCUAAAAAUCUUUCAGGUUCAAAUAUCCUAGCUAUCCAACCUCUACACUUUCUCCUAUUUUUAGGUGUCUACCAAAUAAAGCCUAAGGUUUUCUUUUUCUUUUUCUUUUUCUUUUUCUUAUGGACAUGGUGAAUUGUUGUAUGUGAAAAACAUCUUGCGGUUGUAAGCAAAGGCUAUUUAACUUGAAUUGCAAAUGUUCAGCUUAAUCAAGAAGAAAUACUAAUUAGGUUUUAUGCUUUAUCAUAGUUAUAACUAUAAUUCAAUUUGAUAGUGCAUCCAAACACACUCUAAGCUGGUUGUAUGCAGCCUUUUUGGAGUUAUUGUCAUACAUGCUUAUAUCAAAGGCUAGAUUUUGAGUCACAAAACCAUUUACUGGAAUUGGCUAGAGAAAGAGAACUAAGCACAUGCUGCAUGAGAUGGAAAAGUCCCAAACUGAGUUGUGGGUGAGAUUGGUUUCUUACAAACCCAAUGUUAAUUCGGUACAUUGCAGAUAACAAUCUUGAGAACAACCCAUGGCAUGGAUUUGAUGAGUGGUCACUCAAGAUAAAAACCAAUGCACCUGAAUGAAGUUCUGAAAAUGUUGUUGGUUUUUCUUCUUCAAUUAUUCUUGAAAGUUAUAUUGGUUGCU